UCCUUCUUAGCUCAAUUGGUAGAGCGUGUCAAUAUAGUUUCGCCACAAGGAAAGAUAAUCCAGUCCUAUGAUGACAAGGUCAGUUGUUCGAAUCAACUAGAAGGAA